rnacentral:rRNA from 1 species
AACGAACGCUGGCGGCAUGCCUAACACAUGCAAGUCGAACGAGACCUUCGGGUCUGGUGGCGCACGGGUGCGUAGCGCGUGGGAACCUGCCCUUAGGUUCGGAAUAACUCCCCGAAAGGGGUGCUAAUACCGGAUAAUGUCUUCGGACCAAAGAUUUAUCGCCUUUGGAUGGGCCCGCGUUGGAUUAGCUAGUUGGUAGGGUAAAAGCCUACCAAGGCGACGAUCCAUAGCUGGUCUGAGAGGAUGAUCAGCCACACUGGGACUGAGACACGGCCCAGAAUCCUACGGGAGGCAGCAGUGGGGAAUAUUGGACAAUGGGCGAAAGCAUGAUCCAGCAAGGCCGCGUGAGUGAUGAAGGCCUGAGAGUUGUAAAGCUCUUUUACCCGGGAUGAUAAUGACAGUACCGGGAGAAUAAGCACCGGCUAACUCCGUG